CUUGAUCGAGCCGAGCCACAGCGGCUCCGAACGGUCCUGGCCGUAGGUGGCGAGCAGGGCCUGCGCCUC
rnacentral:antisense_RNA from 1 species